AGUUUAAGAGAAUCAUAUAUAUAUAAUUUUUAUUUUUGAAUCCGGAUGUGAGUUCCAAGGAGAUACAAAUUGAAUUUCAAGCUUGGUUUUCUAUUGUCGUUUUGUCGAGUUUGUAAUUGUUAUAAAAGAGAUUUGCAAAUUCAGGUUCAGUUUUUCUCUCUUUUAUUCUAUGCGACUCUGUUUUGUUCUGGUGCUUUUGAGCUAUGAGAUUCACUUUAUCGUGGUCUGUUUUGUGUUAUGAUCGAAUUUCUUACUGGUCAAUCUCUUUGCAGUUGUGUGAUUUAGUUGAGUAUGUUCAGUCAGUAAAAGAUGAGUUUGAAGGGUCGUCCUCCAUGCUUAUGCUUUAAUUGCUAACAUGAUGUCGAGUUUUCAAUUAAGUCAAGAUCUCGAGUUUAUUCUCUAAGUUUAAAUGUCUAUUUGAAUGGUUGUAUUAUGGAAAUGUGACAGCCUGUUCGAGGUUGGAUGUCGUCUUGAGUUGUCGCAUUGCUGAACACUGUCAGCUCUUUCCCUGCUAAUUUGAGUUGUAAUUUGUUGUGCCUAGAUUAAUGUAGGAUUUGUUGUUCAUAUUUUGCUUCAAUAUAAGCUUAUGAAAUCAGCAAACAAUUGUUUCUUUUGCUGUGUCAUUUAGUCAGUGGUGUUUAUGAAGAUCUGCUAUGGAUGUUGGGAGAUAAGCAAGUCCACGCUUGUUUUAAAGGUGCAGUUUUCAAUUAAGUCAAGAUCUCGAUUUUAUUCUUUAAGUUUAAAUGUCUAUUUGAAUGGUUCUAUUAUGGAAAUGUGACAGCCUGUUCAAGGUUGGAUGUCGUCUUGAGUUGUCGCAUUGCUGAACACUGUCAGCUCUUUCCCUGCUAAUUUGAGUUGUAAUUUGUUGUGCCUAGAUUAAUGUAGGAUUUGUUGUUCAUAUUUUGCUUCAAUAUAAGCUUAUGAAAUCAGCAAACAAUUGUUUCUUUUGCUGUGUCAUUUAGUCAGUGGUGUUUAUGAAGAUCUGCUAUGGAUGUUGGGAGAU
rnacentral:lncRNA from 1 species